ensembl:snRNA U6 U6 spliceosomal RNA
GUAUAAAUCUAAUAGCACAUGUACUGAAACAAUACAGAGAAGAUUAGCACCCCCCAGUUGCAAGGCUGAUAUGCAAAAUCAUGAAGCCUUCCAUCUUUUU